rnacentral:rRNA from 1 species
AACGUAGGUUCCGAGCGUUAUCCGGAUUUACUGGGCGUAAAGCGCGUUCAGGCGGUUUGACAAGUCGGGCAUGAAAUCUCUCGGCUCAACCGGGAGAGGUUGUCCGAUACUGUCAGACUUGAGGGCAGUAGAGGGUGGUGGAAUUCCGGGUGUAGUGGUGAAAUGCGUAGAUAUCCGGAGGAACACCAGUGGCGAAGGCGGGUCUCUGGGCCGAUACUGACGCUGAGGAGCGAAAGCGUGGGGAGCGAACAGG